rnacentral:lncRNA from 1 species
GUAGACUUUCCAUCCCUCUUCUCUGACAUCUUUGAGUUGUGACUCCUUUCCUCAAGGCUGCCUCAUACAUAUAAAGUGGCUACUAGAACUCCAAACGGCAUUUUCUCAUUCCUAGUAGGAAGAAGGGAAAACACAAGGAACAAAAGGAGCAUGCCAGCUGAGUCAUUGCCUAUUUUUAAGGAGCAUUACCAGAAGACACACCCAACAACUUAUGUUUGCAUCUCAUUGGCUAGGAUUUAGUCUUAUGCACCUCUCAUCUUCUAGGAAUCCUGGGAAAUCUAGUAUAUUUUAGGAAAAGAAGAUUUGGUGUCUACACUGCUAGUACUCCAGUUCAGCUUUCGCUGACCAUGACUCUAUUUGGCUAACUGCACAGAUCACAAUCAUACAUUUUGGACAAAAUGUCUUUGGAGAAGCCGCAUUGAAGAUAUUGCAACUGGAAG